UACGUACGAGGCGAGCGUUAUCCGGAAUUACUGGGCGUAAAGCGUGCGCAGGCGGUUGUGCAAGACCGAUGUGAAAUCCCCGGGCUUAACCUGGGAAUGGCAUUGGUGACUGCACGGCUAGAGUGUGUCAGAGGGGGGUAGAAUUCCACGUGUAGCAGUGAAAUGCGUAGAGAUGUGGAGGAAUACCGAUGGCGAAGGCAGCCCCCUGGGUCAAGAUUGACGCUCAUGCACGAAAGCGUGGGGAGCAAACAGG
rnacentral:rRNA from 1 species